UUUCGGAACGGCGGCCGCUCAUUGGCCGCCCGCCGCUCACUCACCGGCCUCGCCGCACAGGGCAGCAUUUUUUUACCCCCUCUCCCCUCCUUUUGCAAAAAAAAAAAAAAGAGAGAGCGAGAGCGAGAUUGAGGAAGGGAGGGAGGAGGAGGGAGAGUUUUGGCUUUGGCCGCCCUUGGGUGCUGGGUUCGUGGGCCAGGGUGCGCGCCCUGGGCCACCGCCUGCCCCGCUCUCCGCACCCCCUAUCCGGGACCCUCGGGGUGUGGAUGUCACAUGAGCAGUGCACGCCCGAUUGGCACGGGUCAGCUUGGGUACUGCCAGAGGCCUGGUUGCUGUGGGCACCUGCUUGAGGAGCAGCGGGAGAGGGGAAGUGAGGUGGGGGCAGUCAGGGGUCACUGCCCGUUGCCAACAUUAGCGAAACUGCCUGGACGGGCUGGGGGUUUCUGGCUGGAAUGGUCAGCUUGCUACGGAGCAGGGGGGCCCUACUCAGAGGUCUGGGGCUGAGGGUAGGGGUUGGGGGAGUCAGGGGGCUUGUGGCCACUUAGAAGGACCUCAGGGCCCAGGCCCCAGGACCUCAAGGUUUCACUGUGCGGAAGUCUCCCAGCCACCCCAGCCACAGGCUUUGGGCUCCAUGGAGCAAGGAAACUGUUCCCAUGGUGCCAGGCUGCCUCUGAGGGCUGCCUGGGCACACCCAGGCCAGACCAGGGCCGUUAGCCGGUGGCCGAGCAGCUGCUAGGCCCUGCUGGGCUCAGUACAGCCCUGAGGCCUGGGUCACCAUCCAUUGUCAUGUGUGGCUACAGCUGAGCUGCCUGCCUGGACCAUCUGGAGUCUGCAAAGAACACUGGGGAGGGACACUGCCUGUGCCAGAGAGGAGCUGGGGGACAGUGGUGGUGGGAGCUGUCCUUCAAGAGCCUCUGGUCACUCUUUCUUGCCCUGGGUCUGUUCACCAAACACUGGGCAGGACCUCUAUCUAUGCCCAGGAGUGUUCCAGGUGGUCAGCAGUGAGUGGCCCACUUCCCUGUUCCGGGAGCUACUAGCCUGAUUUGGGUAGCCACAUCUUGGUCAGUGUGUCCGGACAGAAGCCCAGGGCCAUGGGAUCCCAGAGUAGCAUGUGGCUCUGGCUAGGGAGGCAUGCAGGCCUUCUGGAGCUGGUGACAAGAAGCUGGACUUGCAUAUGAAGAAAACAGGAAGGUGGUCCAGCUAGGGGCACACACUAGUUGCCACCACUGGUCCAUGCUGGACACCCUGUCUGCCCAGGGCUUUGCAGCACAUAGCACGUGCUUGGGGAAUGUGUGUGGAAAUGAAGGCUCCAUUAGCCCUCAUAGGGGUGUGGUACCUGUGGCCAGGAAAGAGGUGGCAGAGCACUUUGAAGAUGGACAGAGUGACCACCACCCGGCUUACAGAGGAGGUCAUAAGCUCCGAGCCCCAUGCACACAUUCCCAGAGGCCUGCCAGGUGACUUGCCACUGCUCCACUGUUACCGCCCAGGCCUGGGAGCACUUUCUCAACCUGUCCACUCCCUGCCUCCCCUCCCUGGGGGCUGGACUGCCCUGUCCCUGGCCUUGUGUCUCUCAGUGGCAGGAGUCUUGCCAGCCGCCUCAGAAUCUGCCAACCCUGUGAUUCAGCAGGCUGGGGGGCAACCUUUUCCACUCACUGUUGAUGAGGCUGUGCUCCCGUUGUGUGCACAGAGCCUAAUGGGUGCUGAGCAAGCGGGGCGGGCCAGAGCUAUAGGGCAAGGGUCCUGAGCUCUACCUGGCCUCUUCUCAGAGGCCUCUGCCCAGGCACCCAGCCAGGGGCCUGUCAAGUGACAGGCACUCCAGCUCACCUCGCCUCAGGCUGUAACAUUCCUGGCCUUCUGGCUCCCUCUGCCUGCAACCGCCACUUCCUUUUGCUCUCCUAUGCAUCCUGCAAGGCCCAUCCAAGAACACCCCUCCCUGGGGAGCCCAUUAGCAUGGUCCACAUACACCCUCCUUCUCACACAAGAUCACUGUGCUGGGCCCACAUUUAUAACUGAACCUUUGGAGGGUCUUGGCCUCCCUACUUCCCACCACAUGCACCCCAGGGGCCUACUCUGCUAAAUGAAAAAUUGACCACCUGUCUGUCCUCAAUCCCUGGGAGGUGCAGAAGGUUAACUGAAAAGCUGUAACUGAAAAGCUGGGGCUUCUAGUAUACCCAGAGACACUUUGGAAAAAAGGCCUGGCAAUCUAUUUUUGAAAAACCAGUCUUUGAAAACCCUAUGGAGCACAGUUCUCUGACACACAUGGCAUUGCCAUGAGUUGGAAUGGACUCCACGGCAACUGAGUGGCAUCUGACUGGGUGUCCUCAGCCUUCAGAGAGGACCCUGUGGAGAUGGGGUGCAGGAGGGGGCUAGGGCAGCCAGCCUAGGUGGGGGAGGCGCUCAGUUGGCCAGUAAACAGGCCAGAGAGAGAAAGCAAGCAGAGGAAGAGGAAAAGAGGAAGUGGAGAGCUGGAGGGAGGGGGUGGAGAGGGCAGGAGAGAGGAAGUGAACAGGUUCUUCUUAGCUUGGGAAAUUCGCUCUUGCAGGGAGUUUCACAGCUGGGACUUCAGGUCUCGGCAGAGCCACAGCAAGACCUCAGCUGGGGCCCAGCCGCUGCAGACUCCACCUGCUCCCCUGGUACUUUUUCUUUCAGCGCCUUGGUCCCACCUCCAUGCCUUUGCUCUAGGGAUUCCCCCACCCUGCAAGGCCCCCAGACAAGGGGACAUCUCUAACACGGUGUCUUGUAGCAUUUACAGUGCCUAUGGAGGGGCCACUCCCUUGAAGCCCCACUGCCAGGCGGGGGUCCCACGCUCCAUUUUUUUGAGAAGGGAGGCUGAGCAGGGCAGGAGAACUCCCUUUCUAGACUUUUGGCUCCAGUAGGGCAGAGACCCCACAUACAGUAGGUGCUCAGUGAGGGGUGACUGAGUGCUGGAGUGAAGGAGGAGCUGAAACAUCUCGUUUUUACAGAUGAGGAAACUGAGGCAGGACUGGUAAAGCACGUAGGGCUGGCACCCCUGUGUGAAGGAUCCAAACUCCAGGCACCCAGAGGUGGCAGCCUCACCUUCCUUCUGACAUUGCUGCUCCCUGGCUAAAGUGUCCCCUGGAAUGUCCCCAGGGACCUGGAUCAAAGAUUCUUCAAAAGGCUGAAUUCCUGGACUCUUCCCUCCUCAGCACUUGCCUCCUGAGGACCAGAGAGGACAGCACCAGCUCUUGGUCACACAACAAUCCAUCCUGAGGCCCCAUACCUGCUCUCUCCUGCCACUUCUUGCCCCCAUCUCCCCUGUUUCUAGAAUGUUCUCAAGGCACAACCCAGACCCCUUUGAGCAAUUGGACCUCAGGAAUCUGGAGAGCAUGUGCUGGGGGUCCCUCUGCCUCCUGCCCAAGAUCUCCUCAGCCUUCAGUGUCCCCUCUUGGGCUGCCUCCUCCAGGAAGCCUACCAUGACUUCCUCCCUCCUCUGCCAGAAUAGCAGUAGCUUUCCUGCUCAGAAAGGCAAAGAAGUCCAGCCAAGAUCACACAGCAAGGGCACAGCCAGGAGCUGAAUCUGAAAGGCCUUUCCUCUGGAGCACCUCCUAGAUCACACUGAUCCUGCUUCCCACGCACCGAUCAGCCAGACAGGCUUCCAGAGUUCAUUAGGCACUGUUCUGAGCAAGGAUCAUGAGUGUAAUCCUUGAGACAGACCUCGAACAAAAGAGCAAAGAAAAACAAGUCUAAUGCCUCUCUCAGGGCAAGCACAGGUUUCCUUAAGAAGGAGAACCUGAGACCAAAUCCACUGCCAUCAAGUAGGUUCUGACUCAUAGGGACUUUAUAGGACAGGGUAGAACUGCCCCGUAGGGUUUGGGGGCAGUUGACCUUUUGGUUAGCAGCUGAGCUCUUAAUCACUGUGCCAAAGGACAGUCAGGGUGGGCCUCUCUGGGGAGGUGACAGGCAGCUGAAGGAGGUGGUGAAGAGAAAGGGAGGGUUUCAGAGGCAGGAGGGCUGGGCUGGGCCAUGGCCAGGGUCACGGACUCCACCUAGGCCAAGCCUCCAGACAUUGCCUUUCCUUGUGCCGGACAGUCGGGGCCUUCCCUGCUCCCCGCCACUCAUCUGGCAAGGGGGGACAUUGCCCUAGAGAAACUGGGAACUGCUGACGCUUCUUGGGAGAGUUCGAAAAAAUCCUUAAAAACUACCCUCUCUCUUGCAGUCCCCAGGGCACCCAGAGAAACCUGCCUUGCCCUCCCGGGGAGUUCCCAGCCUUGCUCAUUUGAUUCAAUUAUUCAGACAAAGAAAAAAAGUCUCCCUGUACUUUCCCUUCUAGACACACACAGAUACAUAUACGCAUAUGCAUACACACAUAUAUAUACAUGCACAUGUACUCUGUACUCAUGUACACACAUACACACACAUCAGCUGGUUCCUUUCUUCUUGUCACUGAAUACGUCGGCCAUAGGGCCAAUUGUCCCUGUUCUCCAGAUGAGAAACUGAGCCAAUCCAGAUAGACCCAAAGAGCUGAGAGGGAGCCUCCCAGGCAGCCUGGGGUAGGGGGCGGCCAGGGGUCCUGGCUUCCCAGGCCCUCUCGUAAGGUUGUGGUUAUUACAGGCGCUUCUUCCAGCCCCUCCCUUGGCUCCCCACAGCUUGCCUGGAGUGGGUGGCCAGCUGGAGGCUCUGGCAGCCCUUGGGACCCCUGGGCCCCUCUGCUUGAGAUGUUGGCAGCAGUUCAGGCCAAGGGUAGGGGGUGGGGCGGCAGCAACUUCAAGUUCAGUCAAGUGGGAUUCUAGGGGCUCUGGGUAUUGAUGUUUGGGGUGUUGGCCCACGCACCCAGCGCAGGGUUGCCAGAACAAGCAGCUGGGAAACCGGGCAGGGUGGCCCCCAGCUCACAGAGAGUGGCGGGGAGAACAGUCAGUGUGAGCUUGGGCUUCCAGGGACAUGGCCAGUGUUGGUGUCUCACUCCCUUCCUACCGGGUGGCCUUAUCCCUGUUGAUUUCCUGCCUGGCCCUGGGACUCAGAAAUGGGUGCUUGAAGUGCCCAUAGGAGUGGGGUAGUGGAGGUAUGGGGGGCACCCCCCUGGAGGGGCCUGAGGAAGUGAAAGGGGAAGGGGGAAGGGAGGUGUUGGGAAAGUGAAGGUGGGCGGGGCACAGCUGACUCACCAUCUUGGGCUCAGCCUACCCUUCCUGGCCUCCCCCCCACCCCCCCAUGUCCAAGAGAGGAAAAGGGAAGGCAGAAGUCCUGAGAGCCUACUGUGCGUUGGGCAUGCAUCCGGAGCUCUGCCUGGAUCACCACAUGCUCUGGCCAGAAUCUCCCCAUUGCUCAGACGGGCAAACCAAGGCCAAUGAGGGUGAGAGAUUUUCCCCUGCAGUUAAUAGCACAGUCUGGCUAUUACCAGAACCUAGGACUCUAGAGCCUCACUCAGGGCUUAGGACCGUGGAGAGCCUUGAGGGGGCUCCCUGAGUCCUUAUGCUUUUAUGUGGUCACUGUUCACAGCUUCAUGUCCCAGAUGGGCAAACUGAGGCUCAGAACAACAGAUAAAUCAGCCAGGUGGUAGCAGAGCCAGGUCCCCUGGGCUGACGGUAGGGAGCACACUGGGCUCCACAUGGGGCCCUCCUCAGCUGGCACUGACUCCUCGGCCACGGGCCUGGGGCCUGUCCAAGUGGGAAUUCAAUAGGGCACGGACACAUAGCCACGUAACCAGACCUUGCUCCGCCAGAAAUCUCUGCUGCCGGCUGGGCUGGCCUGACCAGGAACCUCAGGCAGCUGCCUGGGUUUCCUGAUGUCACCCCCAAACCCAGCCUCUUGCUAGCUGCCAGGGACGUGAGGGGCCCAGCCCACAUGGUCCACUGCGGGGGACACCAACACAGUCAUGACCCCAUGGGAUUGGUUCCCCAGUGGCCAGAGAAGACCCCAACCCAGUGAAGGCUAGGGAGGAGGCCCAAAGGUGUUACGAGCCUGGGAUAUGACAGGCGAGGUCAGGGGAGGGCAGCAGCCAGGGCUUCCCAGAAGUAAUUAAUGGAGGCCCCGUGAACUGAAUCUCCCAGGCCUCUAGGGAGUAAUUUUAGCUACCUAAUUAAGUCAGCUGGGCUGUCUGCUAGCCAGGGGCCACCAAGGCCAGAGGUGAGCAGGGCUCAAUCCCGGGACACCAUACUUUGGCUGGUGGGCUCCUUAGCUGCUUAGACCUGCUCUAGGGAGCCUGUAGCAUUGGGAGUGUUUAAGGGGGACCAGGGAUGUUCCUGAGGGCCUAUGUGCAGGGGAGUUGUUCAGGCCCAGGUAGGACUUGGCAAUAAGCCAACUGAGCACAGGAGCAGGGGGCUGGACACUGGGACUUCUUCGCUCAGCCCAGCCAGAGUGAUAGAGCCCAGUUGGGUACCUGGGAAUGAGGUAGCAUCGUCCCACCCCAGAGGCCCUCUCUUGGGGCCCAGCCUUCCCCUCUUGGAACUACGUUCAGCUCUGUGUUGAAGGGAUCCAGCUCUGCUACCCACCUGCCAGACAUUCCUGGGAGGUGACCCCAGGACUCUGAGCCUGCAGGGUCAGUGAGACCAGGUGGUGGUGACACAGUCUGGGCUGGGCUUGUCACAGGCACCUUGGAAGCACACACCCCCUGCCUAUUUACAAAGGGGAAGCUGAGGCCCAGAGAUAGGCAGAGGCUUACCCAGAAUCACACCACAGCACUCAGGGAAAGCCAGAGCCUCAGUACUGGGGGCUUUGCAUUUUGUGUGCCACCUGGAUGGUACAGACAAUGCUUUGUCUUCUGCCAAGAGAGCCAGGGUGUCCAGGUCCCCACUUCCCUAGGUCAAAAGGGAACAGUUCUUGACCUGGGCAGGUCCCACCCUGCAGGCCCUGGCUCUGCACUACCUGGUCUCCAGGAUAGAAGCUGCCCUCCUUGCCCUGUCCUUGCAGCCCUGCCACCCCUACCACUCUCCCUUUCCUGAGUCAGAUGGAUAUGCAGGUCCCACGCAGGACUGGGCUCCGUCGUGCCAAUGCCAACUUGUAGCUGCUGUCCCCACUACCUACAACACCCUUCUGGGUUAUCUUGGAAGCGAGACUCCAGCAUCAUGUCCUCUAUAGAGCCUCCAGGUUAAAACCAGCAAGAAUUCCUGCCCCCUCCUGAGUGAUGGGCCUUGUGCUGGGCUCGCUCAGAGACUCAGCAGGGAGCCUGUCCCACCCAGUUCCUUUCUUGUGGGCCUUCCAAAGGCUGGGGGCCUCAUUGCACUGCACCCUUCUUGUGGCCUCUGCUCCAUUCCUGCAGAACAGGGCUCCCAGGGGCUACCCUCCCCCCAAAAAAAGAACAAACCAAACCAGUUGAUUCCAACUCACAGCAACCCCAUGUGUGUUCCAUAGGGUUUUCAAGGCUGUGACCAUUUGGAAGUAAAUUACCAGGCUUUUCUCCCGAGGCACCUCUGGGUAGAUUAGAACUACCAAUCUUUCAGACACUAGUCAAGCCCUUAACCUAUUGCAUCACCCAGGGACCCAGAAAGCUGGCUCAUCAGGCUCCCAGUGCACAGGAGGCAGCUGGGACGGUAGAAGCAGGUAGAAAGUUACAAACGUGCAGCUUUGUCAUCUCCCUGCUGAGGACACAGUGAUGUGUUGGUGGCAGCAGUCAUGUGGCUGACCCCUGCCUCAACCUCACAGAGCUGUAGACAGGGGACAAGAGUGGGUGUACAGAGACUCUGGGCUGGGGCUGUCCAGAGCAGGUAUGUGGGGGCCACACACUGGAAAGUCACAUAGGUCUCUGCGAUGUGAUGGUGACGCUGCCUCUUCUCUGUCCCAGAGCUGCUGGGGGGCUGGAGGAGGGGAAGGGGUGUGGUGAGGGCCUCCCAACAGAGCAGAGGAGAGGCCGUGCAGGGGCCCAGGCACUACCUCUGGGGUUGCUGGGGAGCUGGAGGUGGGGGGAGGACACGCCCCGCCUGCUCCCCAUGUAGCAGGAACAUGUGCCAGGGCUAGAUCGGCCACCUGGAAUUCUGCCAACUGCAUCUGUCAGGGCACCCAACCUCAGAGGUGGGAGGCCCCCAGAUGAAAGCUACAGCUGGAGCUGGCCAUCACUUCAGAGGAAAAGGAAACCUCCUGAAUGUCCCCUGGAAGGAACUCAGUCUAUGCAAACCCUACGGGAGCACCCUAGGGUACGAAGCAUCACAAGGGGGAUUUUGUGGUUGGGGGGUUAGCCCAUUCGGCACAGCUUCUAGGGUGUGCAGUAGAAGCUGUGAUGUCCCACGCAAUGUCCAGUGCUAUAAACGGAAUUAACCACACCCAUUGCUGUCGAGUUCAUUCCGACUCAUAGCAACCCCACAGGACAGAGUAGAACUGCCCCAUAGUUUCCAAGGAGCAGCUGGUGACUUCGAACCUCUCGGUUAGCAGCUCAGCUCUUAACCGCUGUGCCACCAGGGUUCCAUAGAUUGAAUUAUGUCCCCACAAAAGGUAUGUUGAAGUCCUAACCCCUGUACCUGUGAAUGUGACCCUGUUUGGAAAUAGGAUUUUUCUUUUAUUAUCAGUUAAUGAGGUCAUACAGAGUAGGGUGGGUCCUAAUCCCUUCUGAGUGGUGACUUAUAAAAGGAAAGAGCACGAAAUAGGGUCACACACAGGGAAGAUACCGCGUGCAGAUGCGUCUCUAAAUAGCAAAGGGACACCAAGGAUCACCAGCAGCAGCCAGAAGCCAGGAGAAAGGGGUGGAACACAUUCUCCCUCAGAGUCUCAGAAGGAGUCAACUUGGCUGACACCAUGAUCUCAGACUCCCAGCCUCCAGAACCAUGACGAAAUACAUUUCUGUUUUUUUAAGCCACCCACCCUGUGGUAUUUUGUGACGGUAGCCCGUGGACACUAAGAAAUCCGGUCGAUGAAGGGCUUUGCAGAGCCCAGCCAUCUUGGCAAACAUGGGGCAGCUUGGAAGGGCCGCUCUUGUUCCGGAGGUCCCCAUAGGUCGGCCCAGGCUGCCACUGCACGCCCGCCCCUCAACCUCUGUUGGUCCCAGGGACCCCCAGGUAAAUGGCUCAUCAGACUCCCCCUCAGAGUUAGCUUUUCGGGUGCUCACCCUGUGACACUGUGCUGUGUGACCCCACAAGACAAAUCGGUUCCCUCCUCAUGGGUGCACAUGCCUGUGAUGCACAGAAUGUGCAGAGUCUGGGAGGAAGGGCUCCUACUCAGGAGGGGAGGGAGGGGGAGAGAAGGAGAGGGGACAUGUGGUGGGGGAGCGGUGGGGGAGGCAUGCGGGAGGGGGUGCAGGGGGACUGCCACCCUUUCCUUUAUGUCUUUCUGGAUUGCUUUUCAACAAGAGAAUGUUGGCACAGUAUUUGAGCAAGAAAGAAAAGAGGAAAAAAGGGGGAAAUGAGCAAAAGGCUUGAAUAACAUUUUAUAGGACAGGAUAUCCGAAUUGCCAAUAAACGUAAAAGGAGUGUCAUCGUCAUUAGUCAUCAGGUAAAUGCAAAUCAAAACCAUAAGGAGAUAUCACUUCACACACCCACUAGGAUGGCUAAAAUCAGAAAGUCAGAUAAUAACAAGUGUUGGCAAUGCUGUGGAGAAAUUGGCGCCCUCCCACUCUGCUGGUGCCAAUGCGAAAUGACGCAGCUGCUGUGGGAAACAGGCUGGCUGUUGCUCAAAUGGUAAACUGUGUAGUUACCGUGUUAUCCUUGUUAGUUAUCCUGGAGUUGGCUCUGACCUUACGUGUAACAGCAUGUAUCAUCUUCACAAUUGUUGGUAUGUUUGAGUCCCUUAUUGCGGCUACUGUAGUGCCUUCCAACCUGGGUGAGUCGUCUUCCAGGACUAUGUUGAACAAUAUUCUCUUGUGAUCCAUAGGGUUUUCACUGGCUAAUUUUUGGAAGUAGAUCACCAGGCCUUUCUUCCUAGUCUGUCGUAGUCUGGAAGCUCCACUGAAGCCUCUCCAUCCUGGGUGACCUUGGUGAUAUUUGAAAUACUGAUGGCAUAGCUUCCAGCAUCAUAGCAACAUGCAAGCCACCACAGUGUGACAAACUGAUAGUAUGUUACCAUCCCCACCCCACUGCCGUCUAGUUGAUUCCGACCUAUAGCGACCCUAUAAGACAGAGUAGAACUGCACCACAGAGUUUCCAAGGAGCACCUGGCGGAUUUGAACUGCCGACCUCUUGGUUAGCAGCUGUAGCACUUAACCACUAAGCCACCAGGAUUUCCUAUGUUACCAUAAAAAAAAAAAAAAUAUGACCUAGCAAUUCUCCUCCUAGGUAGAUACCCAAAAGAAAUGAAGUCAUAUCCCUACAAAGCCUGGUAUACCAAUGUUCAUUGCAGCAUUGUUUACAAUAUCCGAAAGGUGGAGACAAACCAAGCAUCCAUCAACAGAUGAGUAGAGAAAUAAAAUGUGGUAUAUUCAUACAAUGGAAUAUUAUUCAGCCAAAAAAAAGGCAUGAUACCUGCUACGACAUGGGUGAACCUUGAAGACAUUAUGCUGAGUGAAAGAGCCAGUCACGGAAGACCACAUAUUAUAUCGUUCCACUCAUAUGAAAUGUCUAGAACAGAGAAAUCUAUACAGAGAGAAAGUAGAUUAUUACCGGUUGCUUGGAGUGGGGAAGGGUAGAGGGGUAGAGAGGUAAUAGCUAAAAGGUACAGGGUUUCUUUCGGGGUGAUGAAAAUGUCCUACAAUUGGCUGUGGUGAUGAUUGCAUGUAUGUGGGAAUCUAGUAAAAACUAACUGAAUUGUACAUGUUAAUGGGUGAAUAGUAUGGUACCUGAAUUAUAUCGCAAUAAAGUUGUUUUCUUAAAAAAUAAAGAAGAAACUAGUCUAUGCUGGUAGAAGUCAAGGUAGCUGCUUUGAUUCUCGAUCUAGUGGCACACUGGUGGUGGUGGUCUGGUUGGGAGAGUGUGGCGCACCUCCGGCAGCCUCACCUCACAUCCCGGACACACUGGCCUUCCCUGCUCUUUACAGAGCCAAACUCCUGCCUCCCUCAGGGCCUUGGUGUUGCCCUUCUUACUGCCUAUAAUGGUUUCCACCCACCACACACACACAUACACCUUUUUGGGUUCUUUAAGUCCUGCUCAUCUUUCAGGGCUCAGUGCCAACUUCACCAUCUCCGGGGAGCCAUUCCUGAUCACUAGACUUGACGGCACUGGGUUUUCUUAGACCUGGUCAAGGCUCUGGUACCUCCCUAACCUCAUCACAGCUGAUAAUUAGAUAUAUCUGUGUGAUUACAGGUUUACUCUGUCCCUCAGGGCUCCAAAGUCCACAGGCAGGGGCCACAUCUGCUUUGCUCACUGUGGCUGCCCCAGCUCAAAGCAUGUAGUUGGUAUUUAAUAAACUCAGCUCCUAUCUGCUGAAAGAAGGAAGGGAGAAAGGAGAGAGAGGGAAGGAGAGAAGGAAAGAAGGAGCGGGGGAAGGAAAGAAAGAAGAAAGGAAGGAGUGAGAGAGAGGGAGAGAAUGAAGGAGAGAGGAGCGAGAAAGAGGGAGGGAGGAAGGGAGGAGGAAAGAAGGGAGAGAGAGAGGAAGGAGGUCAGAGGGGGAGGGAGGAAGGAAGGAAGAACAGAGUCAGGUCUGUAUCAGAAGGUCCAGAGGUGACAAGCAUGGAUGUGCUGUCUCUCAAGGGAGUGAUCAUCCUGCCCCAGGAGGGUGUGCGCACAGUCUUGGCAGGGAGGAACGGGACUACGGAGAAAGGGGCUGGGCUGGCACAGGCACAGGGCUCACACCUCCCAUCGGGUGUUGGCGGGUGGGGAGGAGGAGGGCCAGUAUCACCGGAAGUCCUCAGGUCUCAGGCUGCAGCUGACUCAGUCUCUGAUAAUAGUCACAGGUCAGGCUCCAGCCGGGUACUCCCAAUGCCCCCAGGGAAAACAAUGACUGAUAUCCUGAAUGUAUGAGGGGUUGAUGUAGAGGAGGCCAACCCAGACUAGGGUCUGGCAAGCCUUCCCAGAAGAGCUGUCUUUUUCUCUGGGCCUCGAAGUUUGAAUAGGAGUUUACCAAGGAGGCAGUUUAGGGAGGGCUUGACAGGAGGAGGGGUUGGGGGAACCACAAACAUCUGACACGGCUGGGUCGCUUUGGAAAUUGAGUCAGGUGAGAUCUUGGUGGGGAGAUAAGGACUCAAUACUAUUUCUAUCUGGCCGACACCCAGUAAAGUCCUAUCAUUUUACAUGGAGGCCUCAAUUGAGAGAGAGGCCAAUUGGGUGAGGGGGUUUAGGGUGGCCAUAGGGGCUGGUGAACCCUCUUAGCACCGCCUGGCCCCCUCUCUCUGCCCUGCUCUCUCCCAGGACACAAUUUUGGGAAAGGAGGUCAGAGGGGGCUGAGGGCCCUUACUCCUUGAAGGGAAGUAAUAUACUGGGCCUUUAUUAGUUCAGGUCCCAUUGUACAGAUGGGGAGACCAAGGUGGACAACAGAGCCUAGGCUUACGUAGCUGGGCCAGGAUUGGGUACUGGAGCCCAUAAGAGCAAGGGACAGGUCCCUCUGGGUGUUGGGAACCCCAUGGACAGCUUCUGGGGCCAAGAGCUGUGGGUACCAUGAGGUCUGCCAAAGAGCUAGGCAGAAACUGGAAACUAGAACUCAGAACCAGGCCUCCUGGUUGACAGCUGUGGGACCACUGUGCUUCUUUCCCCCAAAGAUGAUUAACUGUCCGGAGAAGGAAAGCUAAGCUGCCUGGAUCACCCAGCAAGAACGUGGCAUUAGACCUCAGCCAGGAGGUGGGAAAGUGCUUCAGGAGUGGAGAUUAGCUGGCACCUGGAAUGCCUGGGGCAGUGGUGUUCUCAGAGGACUCAGCAGGGCUGGGCACAGGUUCAGGAGCUGGGACUUUGUUCUGCAAGGGGUGGUGGGAGCCAUAGAAGGUAUAUGAGCAGGAGAGGGGCACGACCAAGUCUAAUGUUACAGGAGAUGGCUGUACAUUAAAAAAAAAGGCCCAAGAGGGCUCUGAAACAAACUCUGUAGUCUUGCUUCCAGACUUCCCUCUGCCUCUGGCCAAGUAGAAGUCUGUAUUAGAAGUACGAGACCUAUAAUAAUAAUUAUAAUAAUACUAAUGAGAAUAAUAACCUGUGUGUCUGUGAUGCUCUUUCGCUUUUCUGAUGCUCUCUAAUUUGAUUUUGGCCCCAUAGCAACCCCAAGAGGGAGGCAGAGCAGCUCUCAUCACCCCAUUUUAUAGUUGUGGACAUGGAGGCCAGCAGUGGAGGUCGAAGACAUGCCUGGGGGGUGUCACUUACUUCCCCACCUUCGAGCAGGGCCUUUCCUGCUGCAUUUGCCGCCCACCAGGUCCCUCCUGGAUGAGGUAAGGUGGUGGGCCCUGUCUGGGACCCAGUGUGCCUCCAUCCCCCGCAGCCAGGUCCUGUCCUGCUUGAUUCCCCUCAAUCGCCCCAUGAGGCAGAUGCUUCUCAUACCACAGGUAAGGCUAGGUCAGGUGAGGGACCUGUGCAAGUUCACACAUGGCUAGGAAGGAGGUGAAGCUGGGACAUGUCUGACAUCUGUGUGGCCCUGGGCAAGUCACUUUACUGGAAGGUCCUCGGUUUUCUCAUCUGUGAAAUAGGAGUGCAAACCAGAUUUGUGGGGCUGUCCUGAGGACGAAAGGAGGAUGUGUAUUGUGUGCUCAGGACUGCUCUGGUUCCCAGAAAAGUGCUGGGGCCCUUGAUGGGCUGGGGUGGCAACAGGGAUGUGGACAGGGAAGAAGAGAAAGAGGAGGGUGUUCACGAAUCAAGCUGAGGAGCUGAGUUUCCGGGCCAUGCCCCAGCCCACUCCCAGGGGCUGCCUGAGCCCAGGUCAAAGGGCAAAGUGUGAGGCUGGAGUCAGGCCUCUCCCUGUCAUCCUGGGGCCACUUUGUCCUGGGUGUGGUGCCAGCCUUGGAGCCCAGCACUCUGCAGGCAUUCCCCCAGCCCCCACUGUACUGAACCGGAACCCCAGUCCUGCGGGGGCUGGGCCACUCACAUGCACACUCAGGAAGGGGCCAAGAAGGAAGGUGACUGUAGGGUAUGGGGAGGUCCCAGGGCCAUGCUCAGAGCCCCACAGGCCCCGCCCCUCCCUCAGAGCUCAGCUCUUUAGGCCUCAAGAUCUGGGAAUUUCUGGGGGGCUGGGGGAAUCCCCCUUGGGACUGCCUAAGAGAGCCUUGUGGGUGUCCGGAACCCUCUAGUCCAGGUCCACAUGGCCCUACAGCAGAAGAGUGGCCUGUUUGUACCACCUGCUGUCUCUGAGCUUCAGUAUGCCCAUCUGGGUAAUGGGAUCGGAUGGCAACAAAUGGCCUCCAGGGGCUGAAGGUGGGCACUGGACAACCCUGGGGGACGUAAAGUGGUGGGUUCUCAGAGCCCUAGGCCUUUCUCUGACCUCCUUCUGCCCUGUGGGCCAGGCUGUCCCUGCUGGGUCCAGACACCAGGCCUCUUGGGUCACUGGACUAGAAGACUGAGGCCCUAGCUCUCCCAGGUGUCAGAGAGGGUCUUGCUCUGAGCCCCUGGCGGUUAUCAGAGAGCCCUCUCCAUCUACAGGGAAGAACAGCCGGAAGCCAGCUGUCCUUUGGACCCUGGAUCCCUGCACUGAGAAGCUCCUAGAACUGGGAGACAGAGAGAGAGAGCUGUAACACGAAAGGCAGCAAGAAGCUACAGUAGAGACUGCAAAGCAGGAGACGGUGUGGUUGGCUUCCCAGCCCACGGAGUGAGAAAGUAGAGUACCCGUGGGCAGAGGCUGAGGGCCAGCGAGAGGUGUGCCUGCAAGAACUGCCGGGAGGAGGCUGUCCUGAUGGAAGAACUGUGUCCUGAGUGUUCCUGAGCCUGAAUUGUAACUGUGACUUCCCUAAUAAAUCCCAUAAUUGCGAGUAUUGUCUGUGGGUUCUUUGUAGUCAUUGCAAUGAAUUAUCGAACCCAUCAGAAGUAGAGAGUGGCAUGGGAGGGAUGGUUGGUGUCAGAACUGGUAAAGUUGGCAGAGAGAGGAGGCAUAUCUGACUUCUGCCUCAUAGGAAUCAGCCUUGGGCAGUUGAUCUUGACUCCCCUUCCCCCUUGUAAAGUGAAAGGAAGUCACAUACGACCCCCGUGCCAUUUUUACACUGGGUCUCCAUGAGGAAGGGCACCAAAUGCCACCAUAUUGGGUGUACAGUCAAUCUUCAGUUAUGCAAUUCAAGAGGUUAAGACUGUGUUUACUUCUACGGCAUUCAUGAAAGUGCCCACACCAUGGAGGAUAAGUAUAUUGAAAAUCUACCCUACCAGAAAGCCAUCCAGAUGUGCCUAGGGGGUAGACAUAGACUUGGGGCUCAAAGAGAGUGCUCAAUUUAUGCUGUACAUGCUUAAAAAUGCCAAGACUAUGCUGACUAGCCACCAUCCCCCAGUCUGUCUGUCAUACUGUGGUGGCUUGUGUGUUGCUGCGAUACUGGAAGCUAUGCCACCGGUAUUUCAAAUACUCAUGAUGGAUUGCUUUCAGCAAAGCUUCUAGACUAAGACUAGGAAGAAAGGCCUGGCAAUCUGCUUCUGAAAAUUAGUCAACGAAACUCUUAUGGAUCACAACAGAAUAUUCUCCAAGAUAGUGCUGGAAGAUGAGCCCCCUAGGUUGGAAGGCACCCAAAAUACACAGUGGAGAGUGGGCUACUUGCAUCAGGUGGACACUUGAGACUGUGUUGGCAUCUCCUGUCUGGAGGGGAGAUAGGAGGGUAGAGAGGGUUAGAAACUGGCAAAAUCGUCACGAAAGGAGAGACUGGUUGGAGGGAGCGGGCUGACUCAUUAGGGGGAGAGUAAGUGGGAGUAUGGAGUAAGGUGUAUAUAAGCUUAUAUGUGACAGACUGACUUGAUUUGUAAACAUUCACUUAAAGGACAAUAAAAAUUAUUUUAAAAAUAAAAAGCACUUCUAGACAAACAAAAACCAAGACACUAUGUCACUAGUAGAUCCAUGCUGAAAGAAAAAGGCAAUUCUUCAACCAGUGGGAAAUGGAUUCCUAGAAGAAGGAACAAACAAGAAUAAAUGAAAUUUUAAAAAGCAAAAAAAAAAAAAAAAAAAAUACACAGUGGUCACAACAAUGGACUGGAGCAUAUACCAAGCAUUGUGAAGAUAGUGUAGCACCAGGCAACAUUUAGUUCUGUUGUACAUGGGACAGCUGUGAGUUGGAGCCAACUCAAUGGCAACCAUCAACAACAAUAUCUUAAUCUGAGGGAUUAAGUGGAGUUUCUGGUCAUUUUACUCAUGCAAAUAAACCAAGCCCCCAAGAUGUGCCACCAAAAUACGGAGUUUGCAGAUAGAUAGAUCUCCCCGCCACUCCCACCACACUGAGAUGAGCCUCACCAAAAGAAAAAAAGAAAGGGGUGUUGUUCUCCAGCCAAAGGAAUCUGAAGAAACAAAGCAAAAGGGAAUAUUGUUGUUCUUAGGUGCCCUCCAGUCGGUUCUGGUUCUGACUCAUACUGACCCUAUGUACAACAGAACAAAACACUGCCUGGUUCUGCGCCAUCCUCACAAUCAUUGUUAUGCUCGAGCCCAUUGUUGUAGCCACUGUGUCAAUCCAUCUCAUUGAGGGUCUUCCUCUUUUUCGCUGACCCUCUACUUUGCCAAGUAUGAUGUCCUUCUCCAGGAACUGGUUCCUCCUGAUAAUAUGUCCAAAGUAUGUGAGAGGUAACCUUGUCAUCCUUGCUUCUAAGGAGCAUUCUGGCUGUACUUCUUCCAAGACAGAUUUGUUUGUUCUUCUGGCAGUCCAUGGUAUAUUCAAUAUUCUUCCCCAAGAUCACAAUUCAAUGGCUCAGUUCUUCUUUGGUCUUAUUCAUCAUCCAGCUUUCACAUGUGUAUGAAGCGACUGAAAACACCAUGGCUUGGGUCAGGGGCACCUUAGUCUUCAAUGUGACAUUUUUGCUUUUUAACACUUUAAAGAGGUCUUUUGUAGCAGAUUUGCCCAAUCCAGUGGGUCUUUUGAUUUCUUGACUGCUGCUUCCAUGUGUGUUGAUUGUGAAUACAAGUAAAAUGAAAUCCUUGACAACUUCAAUCUUUUCUCCGUUUAUCAUGUUGUUACUUAUUGGUCCAGCUGUGAGGAUUUUUGUUUUCUUUAUGUUGAGGUGUAAUCCAUACUAAGGGCUGUGGUCUGUGAUCUUCAUCAGUAAGUGCUUCAAGUCCUCUUCACUUUCAGCAAGCAAGGUUAUGUUAUUUGCAUAUCACAGGUUGUUAAUAAGCCUUCCUCCAAUCCUGAUGCCACGUUCUUCUUCACAUAGUCCAGCUUCUCAGAUUAUUUGCUCAGUUUACAUAUCGAAUGAGUAUGAUGAAAGGGUACAAUACUGACACACACCUUUCCUGACUUUAAACCACACAGUAUCCCCUUGUUCUGUUUCAACAACUGUCUCUUGAUCUAUGUACAGGUUCCUCAUGAGCAAAUUAAGUGUUCUGGAAUUCCUGUUCUGUGCAAAAUGAAAUAAGUAUAGCAUAAUAUGCAUGCAAGAUCCCUAGGUGGUGCAAAUGGUUUGCACUGGCCGCUUCCAUAGGCCUGGAGAUCGAUCUGCUUCCGUUAAGAUUAUAGCCAAGAAAACCCUGUGAAUCAGUUCUACUCUGUAACACAUGGGGUCCCCCUGAGUUGGAAUGGACUGAAUGGCAACUAACAACGAUAUAGGGCAUAUACGAAUAAGGUAAAAUCUCCCGCCUUCCGCUCUUGGCUCUAGAAUCCAGGGUGGCCCAUUAACUUGAUGGGCGAACAAUGCCAUGAUUUAUUUUCACUAACUUUCUUCUGAAAUGUAGCAUUCCGUUCCAUUUCGAACGUGGCAACAAACCACAGAAACGGCAGCCGGCCUGUGAAUUUUAUCAAUAGAAACCUCAGAUGUUUUAAUUAUCACGUUACAGUAGCUAGGGGCAUAACUAACUCACAAUAAUAGCAGUUAAGAGACCGGUUAGUCGUCAGUCCUUGUUACUUAACGCAUUAAUAAACACAUAUAUUGAUUACUGUAUCGCGUUUAUUCUUGCAACAUGCUGUCAACUGCAUAUAGUUUCCUUUGUAAUUCUGUGCAUUUUACUUUAUACUUUUAAAAGCAUGAUUCUGAGAAGGGGUCCUAAGCAUCACCAGAUGCUAACGGGUCCACAGGGGUCCAAGGCACCCGAAGGGUUAAGAGCCCUGGAGUUCCUAUUGGCGGAGUUCGGCAGGAAGCUGGCGGCAAGGGGUUCUGGGAAAUGUAGUUUGCAGCUCCCAGGCCGGAGCCUCGCGGAGCUGAGCUGCUCGCAGCUGCGGGCUAGGAAGUGACUCAGCAGAAUUCCUGAGAGCUGAUGGGAAGAGGAAAGCUCCGGCUGGAUGGGGAGCGGCUGGUCCCGGCGAAGGCCCCACCCCGAGCUCCUGCUGACCGCUGGGCACGCUCAGCCUCGUGUUCUCCUUUCCUCCCAGGGUUCUGCUGGGGACCAGCUGCCUAGGAAGAGAGUGGGUGGGGCGCUGCCGAACGCUUGAGGGAGGGAGGGAGCUGGGAGCCAGGUCUUUCGGGGUCGGGGGGAAUCUCAGCCACCACCUCAGAGCCUGGCCUCCGGGGCAUCCAGGCUUUUCGCAGGGGGCUGGGGGAGGAGGAUUGGUCCUGUCCACGGAGUAAUUCCCGUGCUCCCCUCCUUCCUUUGCGAAUAAAGGUAAUCAUUCAACAAGCAAUUCCUAAGCGAGCCUUCUGUCUCAUUUUUCUCAUGCAUAAAAUGGGUAUAACGAUCCCACGCCACGACUGAGGCUUGUUGGAGCACAUGCUGUCGGCCUAGUUCUGAGCAAGAAAUCACUCAGGCCCUACACCCUGGGGUAGCCGGGCUGAGAAGGCACAUUAACGCGCGUCCCUGAGGGCUCAUCUCCAACGGCCCUCUUGGGGGAAGCCGUUUACGGCAGCCGAGAGAGAAGACACUCCAAGAGGCAGGAGAGGAGAGGGCCCACCCAGGACUGCGCGGCUCUGGGGACACGGCAUGGUCUCCCGCUGCCCUGGGCUGUGAGGCUCCUGGCCGCCGCCAGGUGGCGAUGGAGACGCGCCCGCUGCGCCAGGUUGGGCGGGGUCCACCGGAUCUGUUGAAGGGGCCACACUUGGGGACCCUUCCCAGACCCAUUAGUAACCCUUUGGAUCGAAAAAGAAAAAUAUUAAUAUUGGCUGUAAAAAUGCAAAAUAAGAGUCAAUACAAGUUUAAUCUGAUGACCAACGGUCAUUAUGUACUGAGAUGGUCAAACUACAACUCUUUGUGUCUCUCCCCCCGCCAAAAAAAAAUUCCCAGGCAGAGUUUUUUGGGGGGCGCUUGCACCCCACUGAGUUGGGGUCCAGAGCAUAGUCCUGAGAGUCCUGUUCUGGCAGAGUUAGAGGAAGGAGAGCUGGGGGAGGGGAGCGUCUCUGAGGAGGGAGGUUUAAGCUGGGGCUUGAAAGGUUGGUAGACUUUGCAGGGGAAGAAAAAACCCACUGCCGUCGAGUCGGUUUCGACUCUUAGCGACCCUAUAGGACAGAGUAGAACUCCCCCAUAGUGUUCCCAAGGAGCACCUGGUGGAUUGAAACUGCCGACCUUUUAGUUAGCAGCCCAACUCACCUAGCUCUUAACCUGAGGGGAGAGAAAAUUCCAGAGUGAGAGAGGGACAAAAGUUAGGAGGUGGGACUGGUGGGAACAAGGACAGAGCCAGGAAUUCAUCCUGUUUGGUUGGAGGGUAGAAUUUGGCAAGAGAAGCAGGUGGGGAUGGGGGUGGGUGCGAUGUCCCUCGCACUGCCUAGCUUGGGGCUGGCUACAGCUUCUCCAGUAGCAAUCACCUGGGGGACUUUACACUCGCCAUACACAGUCCUGAGCCAGGGCCUGUCUACUCUCUCCUAGCUGUGGCGUCCUGGCUCCCACAAUCUGCUUUAGUUUCCAAGGGCUGUCUUAACAAAAUACCACCAACUGGGUGACUUAUAAAAAUAAAACCAAACCAGUUGCCAUCCAGUUGACUCCUGAACUCACGGCAACCCCAUGUGUUUCAGCGUAGAACUGUGCUCCACAGGGUUUUGAAUGGCUCUGAUCUCUCAGAAGUCGAUUGCCAGGCCUUUCUUCUGAGCCAUGUCUGAGUGGAUUCGAACCACCAGCCUCUCAGAGGCCGUGCCCUUAGCCAUUUGCACCACCCAGAACUCCUUAAGAACAGAAGUGUAUCGUCUCACAGUUCUGGAGGCUAGAAGGCCAAAAUGAAGGUGUCAGUAGAGCUGGUUCCUUCUGGAGGCUCUGAGGGAGAAUCUGUUCUAUGUCUUUCUGCCAGCUUCUGGUGGCUCCCUGCCAUCCUUGGCAUUCCAUGGUUUGCAGCUGCAUCUGCUCCGUCAUCGUAUGGCUUUUGUUCCCUACCUCCAUGUCUCUUCUCCUCUUUUAUAAGGACACCUCUCAUUGGAUGAGGACCCGCCUUACUUCCGUAGUAGUUUUUACUCAUGGCGACUCCGUGUGUACCAAGAAUUGUGUUCCAUAGGGUUUUUGUUUUCUGAAGCCAGAAGAAUGUAAUUUUAUUUUUUAUAUUUUUGUUAUUGUCGUUGCUGUUGAGACUAUACACAGUAAAACAUACACCAAUUCAACGGCUUCAACAUGUCCAAUUCAGUGACAUGAUUGUGUUCAAGUUGGGCAACGCUUCUCCCUUCCUUUUCUGUGUUGUUCCUUCCCCAUUUACAUAAACUCACUGGCCCCUGAGAUUCCUAUUUUGUCUUUCCUGUUACUCAUGUCAAUUUGAUCUCAUAUAGUUCUUAAAAGAGCGUAAUGCUCAAGGCAGACAUUCUUUACUAGCUAAGCUAAAGUAUUCUUUGGUUUUAAGAAGGCUUUAGGGGAUAUUUUUGGUUUAAGGUUUAAAGAUGACCUCAGGACAAUAGUUUCAGGGGUUCAUCCAACCUCCACGGUUCCAGAAAGGCUCGAUUCCAUACGAAUUUGAAAUUCUUUUCUGCAUUGUCCCCUUUUUGAUCAGGGUUCUUUUAUACAAUCUUUAAUCAAAACAUUCAGUAAUGGUAGCCAGGCACCAUCCAGUUCUUCUGGUCUUAUGGCAAAGGAGGCAGCUGUUCAUGGAGGCAAUUAGCCACUCCUCCUAUUUCUGACUUUCCUUCUUCCUCUAUUGCUCCAGGCAAAUAGAGACCAAUUGCUAUGGCUGCUUGCAAGCUUUUAAGACCCCAGACACUACGUAAUGAACUAGGAGGUAGACUAGAAGUGCUAAACAUGUUAUUCCAAACCAAACCAAACCCAGUGCUGUCGAGUCGAUUCCGACUCACAGCGACCCUAUAGGACAGGGUAGAACUGCCCCAUAUAGUUUCCAAGGAGCGCCUGGCGGAUUCGAACUGCUGACCCUUCGGUUAGCAGCUGUAGCAUUUAACCACUAUGCCACCAGGGUUUCCAAACAUUUUAUUAGAAUGUUUAACUGGAUGUCCCAUGACACCAUAACCCUAAACCUCCAAAGUGAGGAACCAAAUCUCAUGAGGUGUUUGGCUGUACAUAAGCAGCCUCAGCUUUUUGUUGUUAUAGAUAUGUCUAUCAAAUAACUUUUGCCAAUUCAACUUUUUACAAGUGUACAACUUACUGACAGCUCUUACAAUGAUCAGCUGUGAAACUGUCUUAGUCAUCUAGUGCUGCCGUAACAGAAAUACCACAAGUGGAUGGCUUUAAUAAAGAGAAGUUUAUUUCCUCACAGUAAAGUAGGCUGAAAGUCCAAUUUCAAGUUGUCAGCUCCAGGGGAAGACUUUCUCUCUCUGUCAGCCUUUUUUCAUCAACCUUCCCCCAGACUAGGAGCUUCUCUGAGCAGGGACCCCGGAUCCAAAAGAUGUGCUCUGCUCCUGGCACUGUUUUCUUGGUGGUAUGAAGCCCCCCUGUCUUUUUCUCUCUUUUAUAUUUCAAAAGAGAUUGCCUCAAAACACAAUCCAAUCUUGUAGAUUGAGUCCUGCCUCACUAACACAACCGCUGCCCAUCCCCCCUCAUUAACAUCACAGAGGCAGGAUUUACAACAUAAAGGAAAAUCACACAAUACUGGUAAUCAUGGGCCAGCCAAAUUGAUACAUACAUUUUUUUGGGGGGGGGACAUAAUUGAAUCCAUGACAGCAACCAUACUCUUAAUUAAUGUGAUUUUUCCAUCACCGUAAACCCAAACUCAGUACUCCAUAAGCAAUACCCACCCCCUCCCGCCCCUGGUAGCCACUAAUAAAUUUUGUCCUCUAUACAUUUGCCUUUUCUUUUCUUUUUAUUUAAGUGAGGUCAUACAAUAUUUGUCCUUUUGUGAUUGUGGUUUGAAAAAAGGUUAUCUCAGGGCCGGACUUUCGGUGGGGGGGCUCUGUAGGGUUUUCAUGACUGUGGGCUUUCAGAAGCAGAUCACCAGGCCAUUCUGCCAAGGUACUUCUGAGUGAGUUUGAACCUCACCAUGGUGUCCUGCCUCCCACAAUCUGUUUUAGUUUCCUAAAAAUUGGGUGACUUAUAAAAACAAAACCAGACCAGCUGCCUUCGAGUUGACUCCCAACUCAUGGAGACCCCAUGUGUUUCAGGCAGAGUAGAACUGUGCUCCAUAGGGUUUUGAGUGGCUGUGAUCUUUCAGAAGUAGAUUGCCAAGGCUUUCUUCUGUAGUAUCCAACCACAUGAGUGGGACUGGACUCAAUGGCAACUGGUUUUAGUUUUACUCCUGUAUGAUACCAUGUUAACUGAUAACAUAUUCCAAGACCCUAUCUCCAGUCAAGGUCAUAUUCACAGAUACCAGGGGUUGGGACUUCAACUUAUCUUUUUUGGGGACACAGUUUGGUCCACAAAUCUGCCCUCUGCCCCCCACCCCAACUUCUUUCCCACAUGCAAAAUGCAUUCGCCCCAUCUAGCAUCCACAAAAGUCUUAGCCCACUGGCAUCUCACCCCAGCAGUGACCAGCACUUACUGAAGGCCCCUUGUGUAAUGAGCCUGGCUCUGGAGAUACUGCAGGCCUGCCUGGCUUUUCCCAACCUAAAAUCUUCCAUAGCUCCCCAAGGCCCUUGAGUCCAAAUCCCAGCCCUCAGCCUGAACCUCAGUGCCAAUGACAGGCUCAGCUGAGAAUCACAUGGCGCUCACCAGACCGAGGUCAGAAAACAGGGCCUGUGGGAAGCUGGGCCACAGGUGACCUCCACGCUCCUUGGAUCAACAAGGCAGGGGUAAGGAGGCGUCUUAGUCAUCUAGUGCCGCCAUAACAGAAAUACCACAAGUGGAUGGCUUUAAUAAAGAGAAAUUUAUUUCCUCACGGUAAAGUAGGCUAAAAGUCCAAAU